AUUGAACGCUGGCGGCAGGCCUUACACAUGCAAGUCGGACGAGUGGCGAACGGGUGAGUAAUGUCUCGGAACGUACCGAGUAAAGGGGGAUAACUGCUGGAAACGAUAGCUAAUACCGCAUACCAUUCGAUCUGCCCAUGUUGGAUUAGCUGGUAGGUGGGGUAAAGGCCCACCUAGGCGACGAUCACUAGCUGGUCUGAGAGGAUGAUCAGCCACACUGGAACUGAGACACGGCCCAGACUCCUACGGGAGGCAGCAGUGGGGAAUAUUGGACAAUGGGCGCAAGCCUGAUGCAGCCAUGCCGCGUGUAUGAAGAAGGCCUUCGGGUUGUAAAGUACUUUUGUCAGGGAAGCGUUACCUGAAGAAUAAGCACCGGCUAACUACGUGCCAGCAGCCGCGGUAAUAC
rnacentral:rRNA from 1 species